rnacentral:tRNA from 1 species
CCUGAUGGCUCAGUGGUAAAGAAUCUGCGUGCAAUGCAGGAGAUCCAGGUUCUAUCCCUGGGUCAGGA